rnacentral:rRNA from 1 species
UACGGAGGGGGGCUAGCGUUGUUCGGAAUUACUGGGCGUAAAGCGCACGUAGGCGGCUUUGUAAGUUAGAGGUGAAAGCCCGGAGCUCAACUCCGGAAUUGCCUUUAAGACUGCAUCGCUCGAAUCAUGGAGAGGUGAGUGGAAUUCCGAGUGUAGAGGUGAAAUUCGUAGAUAUUCGGAAGAACACCAGUGGCGAAGGCGACUCACUGGACAUGUAUUGACGCUGAGGCGCGACAGCGUGGGGAGCAAACGAGG